rnacentral:rRNA from 1 species
UAGGGAAUCUUCCACAAUGGACGCAAGUCUGAUGGAGCAACGCCGCGUGAGUGAAGAAGGCUUUCGGGUCGUAAAACUCUGUUAUUGAAGAAGAACGUGUGUGACAGUAACUGGUCAUGCAGUGACGGUAUUCAAUCAGAAAGUCACGGCUAACUACGUGCCAGCAGCCGCGGUAAUACGUAGGUGGCAAGCGUUGUCCGGAUUUAUUGGGCGUAAAGCGAGUGCAGGCGGUCUUUUAAGUCUGAUGUGAAAGCCUUCGGCUUAACCGAAGAAGGGCAUCGGAAACUGGGAGACUUGAGUGCAGAAGAGGAGAGUGGAACUCCAUGUGUAGCGGUGAAAUGCGUAGAUAUAUGGAAGAACACCAGUGGCGAAGGCGGCUCUCUGGUCUGUAACUGACGCUGAGGCUCGAAAGCGUGGGUAGCAAACAGGAUUAGAUACCCUGGUAGUCCACGCCGUAACGAUGAAUACUAA